AGUGAACGCUGGCGGUAGGCCUAACACAUGCAAGUCGAACGGCGGCACAGUAAGAGCUUGCUCUUACGGGUGGCGAGUGGCGGACGGGUGAGGAAUACAUCGGAAUCUACUUUUUCGUGGGGGAUAACGUAGGGAAACUUACGCUAAUACCGCAUACGACCUACGGGUGAAAGCAGGGGAUCUUCGGACCUUGCGCGAUUGAAUGAGCCGAUGUCAGAUUAGCUAGUUGGCGGGGUAAAGGCCCACCAAGGCGACGAUCCGUAGCUGGUCUGAGAGGAUGUUCAGCCACACUGGAACUGAGACACGGUCCAGACUCCUACGGGAGGCAGCAGUGGGGAAUAUUGGACAAUGGGCGCAAGCCUGAUCCAGCCAUACCGCGUGGGUGAAGAAGGCCUUCGGGUUGUAAAGCCCUUUUGUUGGGAAAGAAAAGCAGCAGGUUAAUACCCCGCUGUUCUGACGGUACCCAAAGAAUAAGCACCGGCUAACUUCGUG
rnacentral:rRNA from 1 species